CUCGCAAGAGCUUACAAUCUAUGAGGAGAUGGUAUGACACAGAAGGUUUCUUAGGUACAGGACGCUCUUCUUUUAAAUACAAUGGUCCUUUCCAUCAAUGACCCAUCAAGGAUGGAGAAGGACAGAAACCACAUGGCUGCAAGGAUAUUAGACCUCACCCUAGAGAUCAUCUCCUUGAUAACUGGAGAGGAUUACACAGUAGUGAAGAAGUCGUCUGGUGAGUGUGUGACACCCCGUGUGUCAGG